AUACAAUGGCUUCUGGUCAAUUCAGUCAUAAGAUGUAUUCCUGGCUGGAAAAUUCUGCUAUUUGGAAUCUACAGUUAGACAAGACUGCAUGUUAGACUCUGAAGUUAGGCAGGGUCACCACCCUGGACAGGGACCCGCUGCCUUAAGAGCUGUUAACAGUCACCGCGAAGGUCUGCAGCUUCACUCCUGAGCCAGCGAGACCACGAGCCCACCUGGAGGAACGAACAACUCCAGACCCGCUGCCUUAAGAGCUGUAGCAGUCACCACGAAAGUCUGCAGCUUCACUCCUGAGCCAGCGAGACCGCGAACCCACCAGAAGGAAGAAAUUCCGAACAUAUCCGAACAUCAGAAGGAACAAACUCCAGACGCGCCACCUUAAGAGCUGUAACACUCACCGCGAGGGUCCGCGGCUUCAUUCUUGAUGUCAGCAAGACCAAGAACCCACCAAUUCUGGACACAAAACCUCAAGUAGUCCCUCCACCGAAAGCACAUUAUAAGGAUCAUUUUGCCUCAAAGCCCUCCUACAGGCAAGAGGAGCUUACUGUGACUUCCAAGAAGAAAAUGAUGUUGUGGCAUGAAGCACUUCUCUGAUCAUAUCACUGCUGUACUAAAGGUAUGGAAUGUAUUCGGUGUUGAGGAGUUUGGACAGUACAGCAGCAGCUGCUCUAGGGCAUAAGCAGAUGGUGAAUGUUCAACUUGAUUACAUUGACCAAACGGAAUUGGAUAACAAACUCGAAAUAGUUUGAGAAAAAAGGACACGUAUAAUGCUUAGAGAUGUAAAAGCCAUUUUGCAAGAAUGAGAAUGAGUGCUACAUGCUAAGGAAAGUGGAAUGGAAAGUUAAGAACAGUUAAGGAUGAGGUGAAGACUAGAAAAGGGAAAAUUGUCUUUGUUGAAGAGGGCUUGUCUCCUGACAGUUACUCAGUGAUGCAAAGCUAAAAAGAGCACUGUGCUCAUGGUGGAAAAUAAUUCCCAGGACUUGACAGGGAAGAAUGUACUCAUUCCACGCCCCGGGCAGAAGUCUGCUGAGACAAACAGAAGAAAGAUAGUUAGUGAGCAAAUUCAUCAAGACCAAUAUCAUGUAUUUCUCCCCCUGGCCUGAUGGCUGAUUUGCACUCCUCCUGUAAGCAACAAAACUGCAAAACCAGUGCUACAAAACAGAAGCACCUGUAAGUCCGUGGGAGCACAUCUUUGCUCAACAAGAGAUCCUGACAACUAACAACUAACUCCCCCUGGUGAAUGAGUGGAGAAAUUGUUGAGUUGG
rnacentral:lncRNA from 1 species